CAACUCGAAGAGCUCCUAUGAUGAGUCAAGAAUGCAGAAACAUUCACUUCGUAGCUUAAAUCUUUCUGUUCGGGUCGGAAUCCUCCAAUUACUCCGUAUAUGUCCAAAUCGGGUAAGCUGGGAAUCACCCGACUUGUAAAUGGAAUAACUCCUUCGUGUGAACUCUUUUUUGGCUGAUUCUUCUUCGAGGUGCUCGGUAUUUGAGCUGAGAAUGCAUUCCAAGUUUUCUCUGGGCAGGAUGAAUUGAUCUUGGACUUCGUCUGGACUGAACAAGGCUCAGGGGUCUUCUCAGGUAGGCGGAAUUGGCUUUGGCCUGAAGUUUUGGAUAAAACUUGGUUAAAAAUCCCACUUGGCUGCUCCUGGGUUGUUGCUUCUCGCCCAUAAUCUUCUCCAUGGUUGGUUCUUGGGUUGAUGACCGCAUCAUACCCUCCCUCUUCAAGAAGUUUUGUCCUCAAAACUUGAUCUCCUACACAUAGAUAAGUCAAGUUAGUCCAUUGAAGUAUAUGAGGGUGUAGAAUCUUACCUCGGAUCGGUUCAAGUGGUUUUUCAUCGGGUGGCUUCUCCUUGAUCUGAACGGUUUCAUUGAAAUUAUCAUCCCCAUUGGCAGCUCGUUUGAUAAGUAAAGGCGUGUACUCUUCACGAUUUUUGUUUUGGUCCAUGAAUUCCUUACUUUUCAAUGAAUCGCCUUUGUGGUCAUCCUUUGUACCUGUAAUAACUUCAACACUUUUGACAAGAGACAAGUGUGUUAAAACAGUCAUGGAAGCAUGUAAAUCGAAUUGACAAUUUUUGAAUUGCUCCUUUUCACUUCUCGGAAUUGAAACAAUUUCUUGUUUCUCCUCAGCAUCUAAAGACUCUUGUUCAACAUUGGACUUAGGUAAUUGCAGCACAUAUUCAAAGUUCUUAUCCAAUUUAAGAAAAGUAUCACUAUAACUUACAGUGAGAGAUUCCGUGAUAGGUUUGGCAUUUACUUGUGGCUCACGGUUCAGACUUGGUGUGACUGGUUUUGUUUUUGCUUCAUCUCUCAUUGUGGGACAUAAAUUUGCUGUGUGUCCUUUCUUUCUGCACCUAUAACAAGUUAGUCUUUUGAAAUCUUUAGGUACAAGAAACUUACCUUGAUUUCCAAUCAGAUUGGAGUUUGUUUCUUGCUUUAGAGUAGGUGUUUUGCCCUGUUGAAUCGUAAUGACAGAUUGAUGUGGUGCUUGUGAAUCUAAAUCACAACAUGUAGUCUCUUGGCUUAUCAACACAGCCGUUUUCUCCAUAGUACGACUUGAACCUGCAUCAACACCUUUUGGCAAAGACAAGUGUGAUAUGACAGAAUUGGGAGUUUUAAUUUUUGGUGUCAACAUAUCAAUUAAUUUGGAAAACAUCUCUUCUAUACUUUGUGACGUUUUAUCUACUUGUUUUGGAGGGCAAUUGGCAGCAAAAUGUCCUCUCUUAUGACAUUUAUAGCAGGUAGGAUUUUUCAAGACUGAGUUAGAGGACUUACCUCGAUUCACUUUUCCUUGUAGUUCAUGUAAGAGUGUUCCGGGUGAAUCUUGUUGAACCUCUUUUACUUGAACAAACUGCUCAGCCUUUAUUGGAGUCUCCCGGGUGCAUGAAGACGCUCUCCUUGGCUCAUGGUUGUGUGCAUUCAUUGGCUGAAAGAUAGGCUGCAGUUUUGGUGUAGUCACCACUUUCUUUGGCGUUUCCAUGUAUAAGGGCUUGGUGGUGCGAAUACGGGGCUGGUACUUCUUUGUAAACUCUCUAUACAUUCUGGAUUUGAGAGUUCCCCAAUCAAGAACAGCUUUGGUAGUGUAGUAAGUAGCAGCAUCCUCUCUUAACCACCAUUCAUAUGCAUCUCCUUUAAGUUUACUAAGGGCAUAGUACAGCUUUUCUUCUUUAGGUAUGUUGUUUGAGCGCAACCACUGCUUCAUGUUGGUCUCCCAUCUCAAAUACACCUCAGGGUCUUUACUGGUUCCUGUAAAGAUUAAGGAAUUAGAUGUGUAAUCACACACCUUGUUAGAUCGCUUCUUUGGGCUGGCUGAUGAGGUGCGAGUAUGCACUUGGUAUGAGGCAACUCCGUGGUGGCUAGAAUUCUCUUUGCGCUUGGGAGAACGGUACUGGUAUCCUACAUAAGAAUCUCCUUCACGUUCAUACUCAUCUUCAUAAACAUAAGGAUUCGGUUGAAUCCAAGUUGUUGUUGCGGUUUGAGGCUCGGUAUGGUGCUGGCUUGUAGGGAAACGGUCUGGUGGCUCUGGUUCAUGCUCUUCACCUCCUGGUUCUUCCUCAUAUUCAGAGCUGGCGUAGUCAUCUCCAUACCAUGGUUGAACUCCAUAGUCACCAUCUUCUCCAACUAGGUUUUGGUCUCCUCCAUGGCUUGAAUCGGAUUCAUAAGAGUAAAAGUUUUCCUUUGCCAUAUAAUAGGACGUCGUCAUGACUCUCUUUUUCUCCUAGGAAUAUCUCGUAACACAAGACAAAGAAGAAGAGGAAUCAAAACGUAAUCAAUUGAAGGAGAAAAAAGAAUUUUGCAAAUAACAAAAAUAAGGAAACAAUGAAAAGGGAAUAUUCUUAUUUUCUUUUUCUUUUUAAUUAUGACAACUCAAAUUGAAAACAGAAACAAUAAUAUCAAAUUUUUAUUUUUAUUUUCAGAGUUUAUAAAAAUAAAUUUCAGAAAUUAAUUAAAAAUAACAAAAUACGAAUUUUUUUUUUUUGGCUUUUCUUUUGAUAAAACAAAAUAAACAGCAAAACUCAAAAAAAAAAAAAAAAAAAAAAAAAAAAAAAAAAAGAUAAAGUGAAACGAAUUCACCUGGGUUAUAGGAGCUUUUAGCUCUGAUACCAAAUGAUAUAAGAUUGGAACCAAUCCAACUUAUGAUCACUCAAUGAUCAAGAGAUUCCAAGCUUAACUUGCGGAAGGUGGAAUUCACGAGCUGGCUAUAACGCACUCUCUCGUGAAUCAAGGGAUGGAACGAUGGAUAGAUGCGAUUGACUCACUCAAUCAAUGAACAAACUAGAAGUUUGAAUCACUCAAACAACUUGAUUUGCAGACUCAAAAGAACUUAAUUGACUCACUCAAAUAAGAACUAAUGAAAGGAAACACAAAGAAUUCGCAACUUUGUGGAAGAAAAGAAAACAAUGUUUCUUAUGAACUUUAAAAUCUCGAUUAAGGGUGAAUAAAAAUGUUACAAGUGACAUGAGCUUUAUAGGCUCGACCUCUAGGCAUUUCUAACAGUCUAAUAAUUCAAAAAGGAAAGAAAAUACACGAUCAAAUGAAUGAGAAAUAUCAAAGGGAUUGUCUUUGAUAUAAUGUAGCCGUUAGGCUUGAAUGCUUGGUCCAAAAAGAGAAACUCGUGGGCUUUUAUAUCUUGAAAGCUUCUGGAUGAUUCCAUGGCUUAUUAAUCUUCUAAUAACUCCCUUAAGUCGCACCAAAUCAGAAGAUAGCCGUUGGGGUUGGGCUUUGAAUGCUCUCGGGUCCAUAUAUGGUAACUCUUGGUGUAUGAUUAGGCAAGAUUGAAUCCACUUAAUACAAUGGCUGAGAAUGAAGCUUGAGGUGAUAUUAGGAGCCUCUAGUUGUAUUAGAAACUCUCCUGGACGCCAAAGUUUGGUUUGCAAGUGACUAAACCCGUCAGCUUCCAAAUAAGGCAAGCCGAGAAUCAUCUGGUUUGGAAAAUUAAUAUCUCCUAAACCAAAAUCGGUUUUGACUUGAUUCCAACUCGAAGAGCUCCUAUGAUGAGUCAAGAAUGCAGAAACAUUCACUUCGUAGCUUAAAUCUUUCUGUUCGGGUCGGAAUCCUCCAAUUACUCCGUAUAUGUCCAAAUCGGGUAAGCUGGGAAUCACCCGACUUGUAAAUGGAAUAACUCCUUCGUGUGAACUCUUUUUUGGCUGAUUCUUCUUCGAGGUGCUCGGUAUUUGAGCUGAGAAUGCAUUCCAAGUUUUCUCUGGGCAGGAUGAAUUGAUCUUGGACUUCGUCUGGACUGAACAAGGCUCAGGGGUCUUCUCGGGUAGGCGGAAUUGGCUUUGGCCUGAAGUUUUGGAUAAAACUUGGUUAAAAAUCCCACUUGGCUGCUCCUGGGUUGUUGCUUCUCGCCCAUAAUCUUCUCCAUGGUUGGUUCUUGGGUUGAUGACCGCAUCAUACCCUCCCUCUUCAAGAAGUUUUGUCCUCAAAACUUGAUCUCCUACACAUAGAUAAGUCAAGUUAGUCCAUUGAAGUAUAUGAGGGUGUAGAAUCUUACCUCGGAUCGGUUCAAGUGGUUUUUCAUCGGGUGGCUUCUCCUUGAUCUGAACGGUUUCAUUGAAAUUAUCAUCCCCAUUGGCAGCUCGUUUGAUAAGUAAAGGCGUGUACUCUUCACGAUUUUUGUUUUGGUCCAUGAAUUCCUUACUUUUCAAUGAAUCGCCUUUGUGGUCAUCCUUUGUACCUGUAAUAACUUCAACACUUUUGACAAGAGACAAGUGUGUUAAAACAGUCAUGGAAGCAUGUAAAUCGAAUUGACAAUUUUUGAAUUGCUCCUUUUCACUUCUCGGAAUUGAAACAAUUUCUUGUUUCUCCUCAGCAUCUAAAGACUCUUGUUCAACAUUGGACUUAGGUAAUUGCAGCACAUAUUCAAAGUUCUUAUCCAAUUUAAGAAAAGUAUCACUAUAACUUACAGUGAGAGAUUCCGUGAUAGGUUUGGCAUUUACUUGUGGCUCACGGUUCAGACUUGGUGUGACUGGUUUUGUUUUUGCUUCAUCUCUCAUUGUGGGACAUAAAUUUGCUGUGUGUCCUUUCUUUCUGCACCUAUAACAAGUUAGUCUUUUGAAAUCUUUAGGUACAAGAAACUUACCUUGAUUUCCAAUCAGAUUGGAGUUUGUUUCUUGCUUUAGAGUAGGUGUUUUGCCCUGUUGAAUCGUAAUGACAGAUUGAUGUGGUGCUUGUGAAUCUAAAUCACAACAUGUAGUCUCUUGGCUUAUCAACACAGCCGUUUUCUCCAUAGUACGACUUGAACCUGCAUCAACACCUUUUGGCAAAGACAAGUGUGAUAUGACAGAAUUGGGAGUUUUAAUUUUUGGUGUCAACAUAUCAAUUAAUUUGGAAAACAUCUCUUCUAUACUUUGUGACGUUUUAUCUACUUGUUUUGGAGGGCAAUUGGCAGCAAAAUGUCCUCUCUUAUGACAUUUAUAGCAGGUAGGAUUUUUCAAGACUGAGUUAGAGGACUUACCUCGAUUCACUUUUCCUUGUAGUUCAUGUAAGAGUGUUCCGGGUGAAUCUUGUUGAACCUCUUUUACUUGAACAAACUGCUCAGCCUUUAUUGGAGUCUCCCGGGUGCAUGAAGACGCUCUCCUUGGCUCAUGGUUGUGUGCAUUCAUUGGCUGAAAGAUAGGCUGCAGUUUUGGUGUAGUCACCACUUUCUUUGGCGUUUCCAUGUAUAAGGGCUUGGUGGUGCGAAUACGGGGCUGGUACUUCUUUGUAAACUCUCUAUACAUUCUGGAUUUGAGAGUUCCCCAAUCAAGAACAGCUUUGGUAGUGUAGUAAGUAGCAGCAUCCUCUCUUAACCACCAUUCAUAUGCAUCUCCUUUAAGUUUACUAAGGGCAUAGUACAGCUUUUCUUCUUUAGGUAUGUUGUUUGAGCGCAACCACUGCUUCAUGUUGGUCUCCCAUCUCAAAUACACCUCAGGGUCUUUACUGGUUCCUGUAAAGAUUAAGGAAUUAGAUGUGUAAUCACACACCUUGUUAGAUCGCUUCUUUGGGCUGGCUGAUGAGGUGCGAGUAUGCACUUGGUAUGAGGCAACUCCGUGGUGGCUAGAAUUCUCUUUGCGCUUGGGAGAACGGUACUGGUAUCCUACAUAAGAAUCUCCUUCACGUUCAUACUCAUCUUCAUAAACAUAAGGAUUCGGUUGAAUCCAAGUUGUUGUUGCGGUUUGAGGCUCGGUAUGGUGCUGGCUUGUAGGGAAACGGUCUGGUGGCUCUGGUUCAUGCUCUUCACCUCCUGGUUCUUCCUCAUAUUCAGAGCUGGCGUAGUCAUCUCCAUACCAUGGUUGAACUCCAUAGUCACCAUCUUCUCCAACUAGGUUUUGGUCUCCUCCAUGGCUUGAAUCGGAUUCAUAAGAGUAAAAGUUUUCCUUUGCCAUAUAAUAGGACGUCGUCAUGACUCUCUUUUUCUCCUAGGAAUAUCUCGUAACACAAGACAAAGAAGAAGAGGAAUCAAAACGUAAUCAAUUGAAGGAGAAAAAAGAAUUUUGCAAAUAACAAAAAUAAGGAAACAAUGAAAAGGGAAUAUUCUUAUUUUCUUUUUCUUUUUAAUUAUGACAACUCAAAUUGAAAACAGAAACAAUAAUAUCAAAUUUUUAUUUUUAUUUUCAGAGUUUAUAAAAAUAAAUUUCAGAAAUUAAUUAAAAAUAAC
rnacentral:lncRNA from 1 species